CCUGGGUAGAGUGCAAUGGUGCCAUCACGGCUCACUGCAGCCUCCAUCUCCUGGGCUCAAGCCAUCCUCCUGACUCACUGAGCCUCCCGAGUAGCUGGGACUGCAGGUGCGUGCCACCACGCCCAGCUAAUUUUUUUUUUUUUUUUUUCAGAGACAGGGUUUCGCUAUGUUGCCCACACUGGUCUCGAACUACUGAGCUCAAGCGAUCCGCUCGCCUUGGCCUCCCAAAGUGUUGAGGUUACAGGCAUGAACCACUGCACCCUGCCGAUUCUUAUCUUUCCCUAAGAGGUGCCCCUGGAACUGAGCUUGAAGGCAGAGACCGGGAGUGUGGGUGGCGUUCUGGGCAGGGGAAACAGAAGGUGCAAAGGCGCGGCGGCUGAGAAUUAUCCCAGAAAUGGCAAACACUGCAAAAUGGUUCGAACCGGGAAGUGGGGAGAAUUCGGCACCAGAACACACCGGCACAGCACAGUUGGCGUGUACUGGGGAGCCAACGGGGAAUUUUGAGCAGGGGAGAGGGGGGCAGUUGUGGCAUUAGGAGGCUUCUCUGGGGGCCGCGGCGUGGACACGCCCAGGGACACGCGCUGGGCGAGUGCCGUGGGAGGGGGCCUGGGGACACGGCCGCCGGCUCCUCCCGCCUGCGCAGCACGCGCGAGCUAAUCUGCAGCUUUUCCGUUGCCGCGUGAAAAAGCCCUUUGUUCCGCCUUCUUCCCGGGCCUUUGUGUGGCGGCUCCAGGCCUUAAAGGCCCGUGUCCAACACAUGUCUCGGGCGGCGGCGGCCCAGAGAGGCCUCGCCAGCUCCGGCCUCCGCUUCCCCAUGCUGAUAACGCUGGUGGGGGCGCCGCGAGGCUGCGCGCGGACAAAGGCCUCGAAUGCCAAGCAAGCGCUCAUUGUGCGCCAGGACAAAGCAGCCUGGGGCCUUUUGGGGCAAACCUCUGUCACUCCCCUUCCUGGUGCAUAAACUACUCACCCCUCCCUGGAGCUCCUCAAGCCCCUGCCUCAGCCCAAGCCCACUUGGACCUGGACCUGUCACUGGAUUCGUUCACACGGGCCAAGCUUUCCCACUGGCCCAUGUCUGAGGCCAUCAUCUCUGUGGCCAGUGCACAGGGGAGGACGCUGCACCAGUUUAGGAACUGCACUAACCACAAGGAGAGUAAGAAGCAGGAGUGAAAUGGCCAAAGGCUGGAUUCAGGAAGUGGUGAGUCAUGGGUCAAA
rnacentral:lncRNA from 1 species